rnacentral:rRNA from 1 species
GAUAAGUAAUGUGAANUGCAGAAUUCAGUGAAUCAUCGAAUCUUUGAACGCACCUUGCGCUCCUUGGUAUUCCGAGGAGCAUGCCUGUUUGAGUGUCA